rnacentral:rRNA from 1 species
GCCAGACUCCUACGGGAGGCAGCAGUGGGGAAUAUUGGGCAAUGGGCGCAAGCCUGACCCAGCAACGCCGCGUGAAGGAAGAAGGCUUUCGGGUUGUAAACUUCUUUUCCGGGGGACGAAGAAAGUGACGGUACCCCAGGAAUAAGCCACGGCUAACUACGUGCCAGCAGCCGCGGUAAUACGUGGGUGGCAAGCGUUAUCCGGAUUUACUGGGUGUAAAGGGCGUGUAGGCGGGAGUGCAAGUCAGAUGUGAAAACUACGGGCUCAACCCAUAGCCUGCAUUUGAAACUGUAUUUCUUGAGUGCUGGAGAGGCAAUCGGAAUUCCGUGUGUAGCGGUGAAAUGCGUAGAUAUACGGAGGAACACCAGUGGCGAAGGCGGAUUGCUGGACAGUAACUGACGCUGAGGCGCGAAAGCGUGGGGAGCAAACAGGAUUAGAUACCCCUGUAUA